rnacentral:lncRNA from 1 species
CUAUUCCAUGAUCUUUGGCACAGUUUCUGGUUUCUUAGCUAGGCUUAACUUGGCUAUGCAGUACUGCAGAAACAGGACUAUUUUGGAUCUUGAUGUAACUAUAAGUUUAUGUUAAGCAUUAUUUACAAGAUGAGAGCCAAGCACAGACUUUAAUACAAUGUCCUCACAAAUGAACAGAAGAAUGACAGGCAUCGGAUUUUAAUGAGCAGGGGCUGAGACUACUAGACUACUAGUUAGAACCAUCUUCCCUGGAAGAGGAGACAAGUUUCGUUCAAUGCAAGAAUUCCCUGAACCACUGAUACCAAUGUCUCAUGUCACGGGAUUUACUUUGCAAGAAUCCAGGGUAGGGACAGUGCUUUUCUGGCCAGUGUGGCUUACACGAUCCAUCAAACCUAUAUUAAAAUACAACUUAGCUGGUAGCUUUGCCAAUGUUAUUUGGGUCUGAUGGGUAGAAAAAGGCAAAGUACUGUCAUUUUAUGUGGGUA